AGCGAACGCUAGCGGCAGGCUUAACACAUGCAAGUCGAACGGGCACUUCGGUGCUAGUGGCAGACGGGUGAGUAACGCGUGGGAACGUACCUUUCGGUUCGGAAUAAUUCAGGGAAACUUGGACUAAUACCGGAUACGCCCUUCGGGGGAAAGAUUUAUCGCCGAUAGAUCGGCCCGCGUCUGAUUAGCUAGUUGGUGAGGUAAUGGCUCACCAAGGUGACGAUCAGUAGCUGGUCUGAGAGGAUGAUCAGCCACAUUGGGACUGAGACACGGCCCAAACUCCUACGGGAGGCAGCAGUGGGGAAUAUUGGACAAUGGGCGCAAGCCUGAUCCAGCCAUGCCGCGUGAGUGAUGAAGGCCUUAGGGUUGUAAAGCUCUUUUGUCCGGGAAGAUAAUGACUGUACCGGAAGAAUAAGCCCCGGCUAACUUCGUGCCAGCCGCCGCCGUAACAC
rnacentral:rRNA from 1 species